GAUGAACGCUGGCGGCGUGCUCCCCCCAUGAAAGUCGAACGAACCUUCGGGUUAGUGGCGGACGGGUGAGUAACGCGUGAGAAUCUGCCCUCAGGAGGGGCUUAACGGCUGGAAACGGCCGCUAAUACCCCAUAUGCCGCGAGGUGAAAUGAAAUUCGCCUGAGGAUGAGCUCGCGUCUGAUUAGCUAGUUGGUGGGGUAAGAGCCUACCAAGGCAUCGAUCAGUACCUGGUCUGAGAGGAUGAUCAGCCACACUGGGACUGAAACACGGCCCAGACUCCUACGGGAGGCAGCAGUGGGGAAUUUUCCGCAAUGGGCGAAAGCCUGACGGAGCACCUCCGCGUGAGGGAUGAAGGCCUCUGGGCUGUAAACCUCUUUUAUCAAGGAAGAAAAUCUGACGGUACUUGAUGAAUAAGCCACGGCUAAUUCCGUG
rnacentral:rRNA from 1 species